GUUAACUUUCACAGUGCCGUUGAAAUCAGUGGGCGCAAUAACUAAUUAUGUGACAAGCAAUGGAGCUCUCCAAUGGGCUUUUCUCCUCCGAGAGCCUCAAUGGACUUCUCCAGCAGAAAUGGAGAAAUGGACAGGGUGAUGCCUCUUCUACAUAUUUAUCUAAUAAACGUAAGCGAGAUGAUGUGGGACAGGAAAAUAACGGUGUACAUAAUGGAAAUACAGAACUCAGAAACUCCCUUUUUCCAGAACCCUCUAGAAAGAACAGACCUUUUAUCCAUAUCAGCGGACAGAAAGGAGUGUUCUUCUCUGAACGCUGGGAACCUAACGGCAGCACAUUGUACCUUCCCGUCAACGGUAGUCUUCUGACAAACAUUGACAAGUAUGACCAGAUAAGCUUUGAGCAAGGUCUGUUCUUCAUUGGAGAUUUAUCUGGUGCAUUUCAACAGAAGGCUCAAGGUCAAGCUAUCCACUGCUGGAGAUACAGUGAACAGGAGAGGAAACUAUUCAUCGCACUCUCCUACUUCUUCACCGAUCAGCAAGCCUUCCAGGAUGUAGUCACUUCUCUGGGUUGCCUAUGAUAGGAUGAGGAGGAACAUCUGGACCCUCUGUUUGGAGCAGAAUCAGACAAAAUGUCACUAGUAACCUUUCCAACCACUUUUUCAUAGAUGUAAUACCAAAGUGCAGAAGCACAGACAUUGUUGAAGGCAUGUAAAUACUGUGAAGUUGUUCAUGGAAAACUGUUUCUAUUCUGUGGUCAGCUGCUGCUGUGAAUGUGUAAAAGACUUGUAGCUAAGUGCCUACAAACAUAAACAAUGAAGACCACGAAAUAUGUUGGUGGAGACAGACCAUCCACGUUAGUCUGAGUACAUUUUAAGAUAGGAGUGUAUCUUAAAAUUCUAGGACCAAUUACUAGUAAGCCAACCAAAUUUGGUAGACAUUACCAAGAUAAUCAGGCAUUUUUGUGAUUUGCAGCUUGAAUUUGACCAACUAAAAGACCAAAUUCUUUAGAUGCACUUCCAUGUUGAAAUCAAAUCCAGGCGUUCUGUUACCCUGGACUGGUUUUGUACGCCGUGUUUCCUUACACAAGCAAAAAUGUUUUUAAUCUUCAACCCUUUUAAACAAGUUGAAGAUGAAGGCUCACAAAAAUCAGAUGUUGAAUUGAUUUGGGCACACUGAAGUAUUUACCCAGUGUAGGCAAGCUGACAGAUGCUCAAUGACUGUAGGAAUGGCAAAUUGUAAUAGUUCUAAUGCUUAUCAACACAAAGCUCUCUGUUGUACACGUUUCUCCUUUUCAACUGAUAAUGCAUACAUGUUUUAUCAUAUAUCGCCAUCCAUAUUUGCUAUGAAUAGAUGUUUACAGCCUUUUACCAUUUCACCUGUUAGCCUGAUAGUUGGAAUCCAGUUUGUCUUGCAAUAUUGUAUAGGUUAAUAUAAAGUAUACACAGUAUACUGCAAAUGUGGCAUAUGACCCUUAGGGAAACUAGGACGAUGAAGCCCAGUACACUGUUAAAACUAUGGAUGGUGAGAGGGAUCAAGCCUCUUUUCUCUUAUCAAAGCCAAAAUGGACCUCUCUAGCCUUCUUAAGCUUCUGAAGACUUAUUUGUUACAGUUAAGGCCCUGUCUCAAGGACAUUAAAGAGAGCUUUGAAAUAUUACUUUUUUUUGGCAUGAUUCAUGCAAAACGUGUAGUUUUUCUAAUAAAAACAUGUGUUAUUAUUAAUCCA
rnacentral:lncRNA from 1 species